UGGUGGAGUGAUUUGUCUGGUUAAUUCCGUUAACGAACGAGACCUCAGCCUGCUAAAUAGUCACACGAUUUCUGAAAUCGUGGCGGACUUCUUAGAGGGACUAUGUGCGAUUAGCACAUGGAAGUUUGAGGCAAUAACA
rnacentral:rRNA from 1 species